rnacentral:rRNA from 1 species
GUACGGGAGGCAGCAGUGAGGAAUAUUGGUCAAUGGGCGCAAGCCUGAACCAGCCAUGCCGCGUGCAGGAUGACGGUCCUAUGGAUUGUAAACUGCUUUUGUACAGGAAGAAACAGUUCUACGUGUAGAACCUUGACGGUACUGUAAGAAUAAGGAUCGGCUAACUCCGUGCCAGCAGCCGCGGUAAUACGGAGGAUCCAAGCGUUAUCCGGAAUCAUUGGGUUUAAAGGGUCCGUAGGCGGUCUUAUAAGUCAGUGGUGAAAGCCCAUCGCUCAACGAUGGAACGGCCAUUGAUACUGUAAGACUUGAAUUAUUUGGAAGUAACUAGAAUAUGUAGUGUAGCGGUGAAAUGCUUAGAGAUUACAUGGAAUACCAAUUGCGAAGGCAGGUUACUACAAAUGGAUUGACGCUGAUGGACGAAAGCGUGGGUAGCGAACAGGAUUAGAUACCCCGGUAGU